rnacentral:rRNA from 1 species
UUAGAUGUCCGGGGCCGCACGCGCGCUACACUGAAGGACGCAGCGUGUGUUCUCCCGGUCCGGCGGGGCCGGGUAACCCGCUGAACCUCCUUCGUGACGGGGACGGGGGAUUGUAACUGUUCCCCUCGAACGAGGAAUUCCUAGUAGUCGCGGGUCAUCAGCCCGCGGCGAUUACGUCCCUGCCCUUUGUGCACACCGCCCGUCGCUACUAGCGAUUGAAUGGAUUAGUGAGGUCUUCGGACCGGCGCCCUCCUCCGGACCCCGCGUCCGGGGGGUCCUGCCGGAAAGAUGACCGAACUUGUCCGUUUAGAGGUAGUAAAAGUCGUAACAAGGUUACC